rnacentral:rRNA from 1 species
UACGGAGGGUGCAAGCGUUGUUCGGAUUUAUUGGGCGUAAAGCGCGCGCAGGCGGAUGAGCAAGUCAGAUGUGAAAUCUCAGGGCUUAACCCUGAAACUGCGUCUGAAACUGCUAAUCUAGAAUAUCAUAGGGGGUAGGGGAAUUUCACGUGUAGGGGUAAAAUCCGUAGAGAUGUGAAGGAACACCUGGGGCGAAGGCG